UACGUAGGGUGCAAGCGUUGCCCGGAUUUAUUGGGCGUAAAGGGCGCGUAGGCGGCCACGCACGUCCGUUGUGAAAUCGCUCGGCUCAACUGGGCGGGGGCAGCGGAUACGGUGUGGCUGGAGCAAGCUAGGGGGCAAUGGAAUUCCCGGUGUAGUGGUGGAAUGCGUAGAUAUCGGGAGGAACACCAGUGGCGAAGGCGGUUGCCUGGAGCUUUGCUGACGCUGACGCGCGAAAGCGUGGGGAGCGAGCCGG
rnacentral:rRNA from 1 species